CUCUCAUCCGGUUCCUGAGCCUGAGCAGUGAAACGAUGCCUCUGGACGCCUGCCCGAGAUGACCCACCGCAAAGCGUAGAAUAAGCUCCUGCUUUAUCCGCAUGGACUGGCAGUUAUCAAUACAGACGGAGGAAGAAGAAGAAAAAAAAGGGGGGGGGUCCAGGACGUUAGGAUGGAAGUGGUGUGCAAUGGAUCAGACUGUGCAGGGGACAUCUAGAGAGGGCGCGGGAGACCUGCAGGAUGGGGAAUGCAUGUGCAACUUUUCAAGACUCUAGUU
rnacentral:lncRNA from 1 species